UUGGAUAGAUCAGUUGGUAGAGCAUGAGACUCUUAAUCUCAGGGUUGUGAGUUCAAGUCCCACAAUGGGCAAAA